ensembl:lncRNA
GUAAGGAGCCAGCUCUAUACCAUCGAUCCUAAAUACCUGUCUGUUUGGGGCAACUACCAGCAACCCUGAAGUCGAAGAAGGGACAUUAUUUAUCAAGAUUAUUUGAACACAAGAUGUUCUGAGGACCAGUGGACCACUGAGCUCUCCAUGUCUGAGUUCUGCCAACAGUAGUACAGAAGACUUGGAGCUAUGGAAGGAACAGAGGUACCUGAGCAGCUAACAAAGCUGUGCCAACUAGGAUACUGCUUCUACUCACUCCAUCAGCCAACUCUCGUGGUGAGUGGCUGUGCCCCACCGUGCACUCGCCUGUGAGGCACUGCCUCCCCACAAAGCAACGGGACCAAC